AUUGAACGCUGGCGGCAUGCCUUACACAUGCAAGUCGAACGGUAACGGGCCUUCGGGUGCCGACGAGUGGCGCACGGGUGAGUAAUACAUCGGAACGUGCCCGAUCGUGGGGGAUAACGAGGCGAAAGCUUUGCUAAUACCGCAUACGAUCUACGGAUGAAAGCAGGGGACCGCAAGGCCUUGCGCGGACGGAGCGGCCGAUGGCAGAUUAGGUAGUUGGUGGGAUAAAAGCUUACCAAGCCGACGAUCUGUAGCUGGUCUGAGAGGAUGAUCAGCCACACUGGGACUGAGACACGGCCCAGACUCCUACGGGAGGCAGCAGUGGGGAAUUUUGGACAAUGGGCGCAAGCCUGAUCCAGCCUUGCCGCGUGCAGGAUGAAGGCCUUCGGGUUGUAAACUGCUUUUGUACGGAACGAAAAGCCUUCUUUUAAUACAGGAGGGUCAUGACGGUACCGUAAGAAUAAGCACCGGCUAACUACGUG
rnacentral:rRNA from 1 species